GGAGACUACAAGUCCCGGCAGGCCCCGCGCGGGCCCCGGCGGCGUGGCGGGCCGGGCAUCGGGCGUCUUCCUAAUUCCAGAGGAGGCGGCCUCGGCGCGUCGGGGCGGGCCGCGCGUGGAGCCCUGGUCCACUGCGCUGCGGUGCCUCCUGGGAUUGGUAGUUUUCGAGGAGCAGGGGCUUGGCUCGGAGUGGGCGGGGCGGAAGCUCGGGGUUCUCUGAUGUCAUCGGCUAGAGCUUCGCGGCAUGGGGAUCUUUAAAAAUAGGCUUCGCUCGUUUGCGAAUAAUUUGUUUGCAAGCUGUUCCAUAAUCGGUCCAGGAAGCAUAAAUUGACAGGCCGCUGUGUGACCUGGAGAAAAACGCUUUACAGCUCUGCGCGCCAAUUCUUUGCUCGUAACCGUUUCUCCCUGGAACUAUUGGUUCCACUUCCUACUGUAUAGGACAGGAGGCUUAGAGAAACUUGAAGGAUUAACUGAAAUUCUUUCGGGAAAGAUGGAGCAUAAAUAUUAUUCUCAUGACUAUUCAUAAAUGUUUAACAUAUUUGUUGCGCACCUACUAUGUGCCAAGUCCCAUGAUAGACGCUAAGCGUACGUCUGAGAGCGCGACAGACACCGUCCUGUCCUCACGGAGCCUGCAAUCUGUGAAGGGAGAUAUCCUUAAGCAACAUCACUUUAGAUUUUACUUAGGUGGAGAAACGGAGAUUUUAGCUGUUUUGUUCAUCACUGUAUCUUCAGUGCCUAGAACAGAAAUAUUUGUUCCAUGGUGAAGGCCACCAGCCAACUUCACAGUCAGAAUCAGAAGUUAACCGAAGAGGCAACUCCAGAAGUAAACCCUUAUUCUCGCUACAAACCAGAACCAAUGUGGUACAAGAAUUGAACAUGAACCAAACGCUCUGGGAACCCAGCUUUGUUCCUGUCAUGUCUCCUCCAGAAACUGAGUAGCAGAGAGUGAAAAACAGCUCCUCCCUAAUUUUCAGUUUAAAAAUGAAACCCGUGUGGCGCCCGGGUGGCUCAGUCGAUUAAGCGUCCAACUUGGGCUCAGGUCAUGAUCUCACAGUUCCAUGAGUUUAAGCCCCACAUCAGACUCUCUGCUGUCAUCGUGGAGGCCGCUUUGGAUCCUCUGUCCCCCUCACUCUGCCCUUCCCCUGCUCACUUGUGCUCAGUCUCUCUCUCUCUCUCUCUCUCUCUGUCAAAAAUAAAUAUUUUUUUAAGUUAAAAAAAUAAAAUAAAAAAUAAAAAUGA